AGAGUUUGAUCAUGGCUCAGAUUGAACGCUGGCGGCAUGCCUUACACAUGCAAGUCGAACGGUAACGCGGGGGCAACCCUGGCGACGAGUGGCGAACGGGUGAGUAAUACAUCGGAACGUACCUGGUAGUGGGGGAUAGCCCGGCGAAAGCCGGAUUAAUACCGCAUACGCACCACGGUGGAAAGCGGGGGGCCGCAAGGCCUCGCGCUAUCAGAGCGGCCGAUGGCAGAUUAGCUAGUUGGUGGGGUAAAAGCCUACCAAGGCGACGAUCUGUAGCUGGUCUGAGGGGACGACCAGCCACACUGGGACUGAGACACGGCCCAGACUCCUACGGGAGGCAGCAGUGGGGAAUUUUGGACAAUGGGGGAAACCCUGAUCCAGCGAUGCCGCGUGUGUGAAGAAGGCCUUCGGGUUGUAAAGCACUUUUGUUCGGGAAGAAAUCUGUCGGGCUAAUACCAUGGCGGGAUGACGGUACCGGAAGAAUAAGCACCGGCUAACUACGUGCCAGCAGCCGCGGUAAUACGUAGGGUGCGAGCGUUAAUCGGAAUUACUGGGCGUAAAGCGUGCGCAGGCGGUUUCAUAAGACAGAUGUGAAAUCCCCGGGCUUAACCUGGGAAUUGCAUUUGUGACUGUGAGACUAGAGUGUGUCAGAGGGAGGUGGAAUUCCGCGUGUAGCAGUGAAAUGCGUAGAGAUGCGGAGGAACACCGAUGGCGAAGGCAGCCUCCUGGGAUAACACUGACGCUCAUGCACGAAAGCGUGGGGAGCA
rnacentral:rRNA from 1 species